GGAUGUUUCUGGCCGUCUGAUCUCGUGUAAACAGGCAUCUGUCCCGCAUGUGUUAUGCAGUGGCCCAGCUGUCCUAAUGGGCUGCUACUCCCGCAGCCGAAACGAAGAAAUCUGGUCAACUGGGCCUGUUCGGCCAGCCCAUAAGAAAUCUGAUUCGUGCGCUGGUUUUCUUUUUUCCAGAACGACGUGGGAUGCAGAGGAGAGGAUCUGCCAGAGGCGAUGCAGAUACAGAGGAGAGGGAUCGACCGGAGUUGCGGGCGCAGGAUCCGGGUCGAGCCUAGGCGCAGCGGCGCUCGAUACAGAGGAUGCGACGCGGGAUACAGAGGGGCGGGCGGUUUGUGUCGAUCGAGUGGAGGCGCGGGAUCCAGCCGAGGCGCUCGAGCGGAGGCGCGGGAGGAUGAUGCCCUUCCCUUCGCGCCCCACUCCCGCCGCCGGCCACAUCUGGCCGCCUCAGAACUCCUCGCCCUCAUGUCUUGCUUCAUAUGUUCCCAUCCCCAUCCCUUCUGCAGGAUGUGCUCGACGGCGUGUGCGCCAACGCACGGUGAGGUCAGGCAGCUGGUAGAGUAUAUUGGUUAGUUGACAAAGACUGCAACUGCAACGGAACAUGUAGGAAGCAUGUGCAACUCUCCUAACCUCAGGCAGCCUCCAUCUGUUCCAGCCUCAGGCAGAAGCAGUGUUUGCUUGCUCUGCUUCACAACGAUGCUUGGUCCAUGUCUCUCCCAUGACAACCGCCUAGGGAAAACGAUAACCAUCUGGACCAUGUUGGCACUAGAUGGUGUAGCGUUAGCGUAGCAUAACUUGUACUCCCUUCAUCCCAAAUUACUUGUCACAGAAAUGAAUAAAAAUGAAUGUAUCUAGAACUAAAAUACAUCUAGGUACAUCCAUUUCUCCGACAAGUAUUUCCGGACGGAGGGAGUAUGUAUUUCCUGAUGCCUCUCAACCAUAUACGUACAACAAGUGAACAUCAAGAUAGUACAGGCCUUCAGUUCAGAUUUGCUCUCCAAUGCCAAAAACAAAAUAAAAAAUAUCCUCUAGGCAUGUGUGCAUAUAGGAUAUUGGUUUAUGGAAAGGUUGGACAUCAA